GAUUAAACAAACAAGAGCAAAUGGUGGAUGCCUUGACACUAAAAGACGAUGAAGGACGUAGCAAUCUGCGAUAAGCUUCGGGGAGGUGAUAAGCAACCUUUGAUCCGGAGAUUUCCGAAUGGGGAAACCCGUCUUGUGCAAACACAAGUCAUUCAUAUCUGAAUACAUAGGAUAUGAAAGGUAACCUGGGGAAUUGAAACAUCUUAGUACCCAGAGGAAAAGAAAAUAAUUGUUUAAUCGUUAUGAGUGGGAGGUUGUCCCCCUAUGGGGGAUCAACCGCAACUUACUACUCAUAACUUUUAAACGCAUUCCCUUAGUAGUGGCGAGCGAAAGGGGAACAGCCCAAACUUUCUGAGUUUCUUUAAUAGUCUUUUGGAUUAUUAAAGAGGGAUGUAAGUCUUCAUACUCAGGGAGCGUUGUGAGAUAAUUACGUUUGGAGCUUACACUUUGAAAUAGAGUCAAUAAUAUAAAGCUUUCCUAGUAAAAAGAUCUGGAAAGGUCUACUACAAAGGGUGACAGUCCCGUAUGCGAAAGGAGUUUUAUGCUCUAUAGUAGUUGUUCUCGAGUACCAUGGGACCCGUGAAAUCUUAUGGGAAUCUGCCCCGCCUAUGGGGUAAGGCUAAAUACUUUUAGUGAUCGAUAGUGAACUAGUACCGUGAGGGAAAGGUGAAAAGCAGGCCGGUGAGGCCGAUGAAAUAGUUUCUGAAACCAUUUGCUUACAAGGAGUCGGAGUCUGCCCAACUUUUUGCACAAAUUGAUACAUCAAUAUGAACAUAUUGGUGAGCAAAAAGUUGGGCGGAUGACGGCGUGCCUAUUGAAGAAUGAACCAACGAGUUAGCUGGACAUAGUUUGAUUAAGCCCUUAUGGGGUGAAGUCACAGUGAAAGCGAGCACUAACCGUGCGUACAUGUUUUUAUCCUUACUUCCUACUUUUGUAGGAACGAGGGAUAAAAACUAUUGAUUAUGUUCACUAGACCCGAAACCAGGUGAGCUAUCCAUGGCCAGGAUGAAGCUUCGUGAAGACGAAGUGGAGGUCCGAACCCACUCAUCGUACAACAUGAGGGGAUGAGUUGUGGAUAGAGGUGAAAUGCUAAUCGAACCUGGCAAUAGCUGGUUCUCCUCGAAAUAGUUUUAGGACUAGCCUUGUAAAUAUUCCUCUAGAGGUAGAGCACUGAUCGGGGUAGGAUAGCUUCGGCUUACCUAUCCUAACCAAACUCCGAAUGCUAGAGGUCUGAUUACAAGAGUCAGAACAUGGGGGCUAAGCUCCAUGCUCGAAAGGGAAACAGCCCAGACCGUCAGCUAAGGUCCCAAAAUCUAGGUUAAGUGUGAAAGGUAGUAUCAUGACAUGUACAACUAGGAGGUUGGCUUAGAAGCAGCCAUCCUUUAAAGAAAGCGUAAUAGCUCACUAGUCCAGUCAUUUUGCGCCGAAAAUGUAUCGGGGCUCAAACCUAGUACCGAAGCUACGGAUUAUAUUGAUACUUCGGUAUCAAUAUACUGGUAGAGGAGCGUUCUGUUUGCAUUGAAGCUGAACCGUGAGGUUUGGUGGAGCGUACAGAAGUGAGAAUGUUGGUAUAAGUAGCAAAAAUUCAGGUGAGAACCCUGAACACCGUAAGUCUAAGGUUUCCUGGGCAACGCAAAUCGACCCAGGGUUAGUCGGUCCUAAGGCGAGGCCGAAAGGCGUAGUCGAUGGACAGCUGGUUAAUAUUCCAGCACCUCGAAUAGUUUAUUGCAGACUGACACAUUUCCGUGGUCGGAGCGUACUUUGGCUAUGUGCGUCGUUGUUCUCUCUUUUUGAGAGGAUGACGGAAAGGAAAACCGAAAGGUGGACCUGAUUCUGGUGAAGGGAGUGUCAAGAAAAGGUUUGCAAUGCUAGGCUAUUCGAGUCCGUACCAAAACCGACACAGGUAGACGGGUGCGAAAUGCACUAAGGUGUACGAGAGAACCCUAGUUUAGGAACUCGGCAAAACAGCGGCCGUAACUUCGGGAUAAGGCCUGCCUCUAAAGCUCAGCAAUGGGUGAAGAGGCCGCAGCGAAAGAUUCCAAGCGACUGUUUAUCAAAAACAUAGGUCCCUGCUAAACCGAAAGGUGAUGUAUAGGGGCUGAUGCCUGGCCAGUGUCCGAACGUUAAGGGGCGGGGUGCAAGCUCCAAACUUAAGCGCGGAUGAACGCCGGCGAUAACUAUAAUCGUCCUAAGGUAGCGAAAUUCCUUGUCGGGUAAGUUCCGACCUGCACGAAUGGCAUAACGACUUGGAAACUGUCUCAACUAGGGACUCGGCGAAAUUGCAGGAACGGUAAAGAUGCCGUUUACCCGCGGCAAGACGAAAAGACCCCGUGAAGCUUUACUACAACUUGGCAUUGAAAUACGAUUAGAUUUGUUUAGUAUAAGUGGGAGACUUUGAAACCUCGGCGCUAGCUGAGGUGGAGUCAUUAGUGAAAUACCACUCUAAUUUGCUUUUAUUUCUAACUCUCUCGCCUGAAUCGGCGAGGAAGACAGUGUCUGGUGGGUAGUUUGACUGGGGCGGUCGCCUCCUAAAAAGUAACGGAGGCGUUUACAAAGGUUGGCUAGCUGUCGAUGGAAACGACAGUGAUAGGGUAAAGCCAUAAGCCAGCUUUACUGCAAGACAUACAAGUCGCGCAGUUGCGAAAGCAGAACUUAGUGAUCCGACAAUCCUUGAUAGUCGGGUUGAAGCUCAACGGAUAAAAGUUACUCCGGGGAUAACAGGCUUAUUGCGCCCAAGCGUCCACAGCGACGGCGCAGUUUGGCACCUCGAUGUCGGCUCACCGCAUCCUGGGGGUGAAGAAGCUCCCAAGGGUUUGGCUGUUCGCCAAUUAAAGCGGUACGCGAGCUGGGUUCAGAACGUCGUGAGACAGUUCGGUCUCCUAUCUGCCGUGGGCGUUGAAAUUUGAGAAGAUCCUUCUCUAGUACGAGAGGACCGAGAAGGAUAAACCUCUCGUGAAUGAGUUGUCCUGCCAAGGGCAUUGCUCAGUAGCGACGUUUAGUUUGGAUAAACGCUGAAAGCAUAUAAGCGUGAAGCCGUCUUCAAGAUUAGAUUUCAUUUGAGGCUCCCGGAAGACGACCGGGUAAAUAGGCUUUAGGUGUAAGCCCAGUAAUGGGUUUAGCCGAGAAGUACUAAUCAGCCGAUGUUUAAUCGU
rnacentral:rRNA from 1 species